UGUAGACGGGUGAGUACGCGUGGGACGUGCCCUUCAGUUCGGAAUAACCCAGGGAAACUUGGGCUAAUACCGGAUACGUGCGAGAGCAGAAAGAUUUAUCGCUGAAGGAUCGGCCCGCGUCUGAUUAGCUAGUUGGUGAGGUAAUGGCUCACCAAGGCGACGAUCAGUAGCUGGUCUGAGAGGAUGAUCAGCCACAUUGGGACUGAGACACGGCCCAAACUCCUACGGGAGGCAGCAGUGGGGAAUAUUGGACAAUGGGCGCAAGCCUGAUCCAGCCAUGCCGCGUGAGUGAUGAAGGCCUUAGGGUUGUAAAGCUCUUUCGUCCGGGACGAUAAUGACGGUACCGGAAGAAGAAGCCCCGGCUAACUUCGUGCCAGCAGCCGCGGUAAUACGAAGGGGGCUAGCGUUGUUCGGAAUCACUGGGCGUAAAGGGCGCGUAGGCGGCUUGAUAAGUCGGGGGUGAAAGCCUGUGGCUCAACCACAGAAUUGCCUUCGAUACUGUCUGGCUUGAGACCGGAAGAGGUAAGUGGAACUGCGAGUGUAGAGGUGAAAUUCGUAGAUAUUCGCAAGAACACCAGUGGCGAAGGCGGCUUACUGGUCCGGUUCUGACGCUGAGGCGCGAAAGCGUGGGGAGCAAACAGGAUUAGAUACCCUGGUAGUCCACGCCGUAACGAUGAAUGCCAGCCGUUGGCGAGCUUGCUCGUCAGUGGCGCAGCUAACGCUUUAAGCAUUCCGCCUGGGGAGUACGGUCGCAGAUUAAACUCAAGGAAUUGACGGGGCCCGCACAGCGUGAGCAUGUGGUUUAUUCGAGCACGCGCAGACCUUACCAGC
rnacentral:rRNA from 1 species